rnacentral:tRNA from 1 species
UCCCUUGUGGCUUAGAUGGUGAAGAAUCUGCCUGCAAUGCAGGAGACUCUGGUUUGAUCCCUGAAAAAGGAA